AACGCACAUUGCGCUGUCUGGAAACCCGGGCAGCAUGUCUGUUUGAGUAUCAUUUCUAGGUCUUUCUUAAUGAUGAUGUUGAACAUUUAUGUUCUAUUUGGCAUUAAGUUAGGAAUUGAAGUAUUAUCACCAGUCUCGUGUGAUAUUCUUUAAAAUUGAAGAGUGUUAAAAAAACGACGUUCAAAACCGUGCAGUGUAGUCCAAAAGGAAUCUCUGUAUGAAUGUAUUGACGUAGUUUACUCUGAUUCUAUUUUAUGAAAUGUUUUUGUGUGGUAGUGCAAAACUCGCCGUUACUUGACGUUACGAGUUUUAUUAACCGCCCCAAAAAAGAACUUUGAUCUCAAAUCAGACAAGAUUACCCGCUGAACUUAA
rnacentral:misc_RNA from 1 species